rnacentral:tRNA from 1 species
UCCUUGGUAGUCUAGUACUAAGACACUGUUCUACCAAUGCAGGGGGCCCAGGUUCGAUCUCUAGUCAGGGAA